AUGACCUUUUUAUCCCCUUCCCUCGCUUCGCCCUCCAACCCCCCACCCCGUCCCUGCUUCCUUCCCUGCCCAGCACAGGGAGCCUGGGGCCAAUUGGCUCCUCCAUACGAUCAAAUGUCACUAUAAGUUGAGAGCUGCUCCACCUUGGGAGGCUCGCAGAUCCCAGCCUGCCUGUCCCCUUCAGCAGGGAGCUCGGUGCUUCUCUCUGUUCAUCCCAGAAACUCAUUGCCAACAUGUCUGAUACCGAGGAAGUGGAGCAAGGAGAGGGUAAGUCUUAAUUCUGUCUCUAAUUGCUUCCAUGCAAGCCUUCAGCAUUUGCUGGUCGUGUCCAUCUUCUCCUUUCUGCCCACUGUUGAGAUUUUAACAAAAAGUCUCACUACCGUUAGGCAAAUCAGAGUUUUCUCUGUGUAUGUU